rnacentral:rRNA from 1 species
AUAUAAAUAUGCGGAGGAAAAGAAACCAAAUGGGAUCCCCUAAGUAAUGGCGAAUGAAAUGGGGAAAGCUCAUUGCAAAGGCCUAUCAAGUAUGCAACUUGAUAUGCAGUGCUGCAUUCAUACAGUGUGAUAAAUGUUGCUUAAAGCACAGCUACAUAUUCCUUUGAAUGGGGUCUAUUACCCAUAGACGGUGCUAGGCCGUUAGUCGCUUGUGUUUUUAGGCACAAUCUCCUGUAUAUUAGAGUCAGGUUGCUUGAGAGUGCAACCUAAAAUUGCAGGUAAACUCCUGCAAAAGCUAAAUAUACUGAUGAUACCGAUAGUAAACAAGUACCGUGAGGGAAAGUUGCAAAGAACUUUGAAGAGAGAGUUCAAAAGGACGUGAAACCACUUGCAAGUAAACAGAUGGAACCACGAAGUGUAGCUGAGAGGAGAAUUCAUUUUUACUUGAGGUGCAAUUAUAGUUAAGAGUAGUGUGUCUGCUUUUCUUGCUUGAUAAGUAUAUGUUUAGUAAAGCACAAGCUCUUCUAUAAUAUUUAUGAAUAAAUAUGUGCCUUUUAGUAAAUGCAUUUUCACUCUUCUCAUGCUCGAGCCUUGUACAAUAGGGUGCUAUACGAUUAAAGGAAAAUAUUGCGUAGCGUUUAUAUUCUAUGUAUUCAGUAGUGUAGGGUGCAUUUAUUCUAGUUGACUUGUCAAUCUAGGUAUAAAUGUGUACUAUGCUUUGCUGUUUGUUGUUAUAUAUUGUGUUUAUUGAUUAAAUGCAAUAUAUAUAUACAAGAAAACUAUUUUCCCCCCUAUUGUUAAUGAAAGUUUCUCUAAGGAGAAUGAUAUAAUAUUGCUUAAGGGUAGGAUAUCUUUAAGGCAUAUUUGUCUAUCAAUUGUAAACACGGGACAAUUGUAUUCAUCUAUCGAAUGAGAAUUCCUGAUUGAUAGACUGACUAGAUAUGCAUUAGAUAAUUCUAAUGUUUGAAAAUUGCACUUUAUUUUAAAGUAAGCAUUUUCAUUCUACCCGUACAUAGUGCAUCACAAGAUAGAAUUAUCUAGCACUAUUUGAAGUGGUGUGUAAUUGAUUCAUCGUCAAUUAUAUAUUCAUUUUAAUAUUGUUUAGCGUAAUUCGUCUGUGUUGCAUGAAAUCUAAGGCCAGUAGAUCGGUAAUCCAUCU